GACGAACGCUGGCGGCGUGCUUAACACAUGCAAGUCGAACGGAAAGGCCCUGCUUUUGUGUUGUGCUCGAGUGGCGAACGGGUGAGUAACACGUGAGUAACCUGCCCUUGUCUGUGGGAUAACUUCAGGAAACUGGGGCUAAUACAGGGUAGAAUCUCCUGCUGCAUGGGGGGGGAUGGAAAGUUUCGGCGUUUGGGGAUGGUCUCGCUGGUUAUCAGCUUGAUUGUCGGGUAGUUGUGUUCCAAGGCUUUGAAGGGUAGCCGGCCUGAGAGGUUGAACGGCCACAUUGGGACUGCGAUACGGAGCAGACUCCUACCGGCGGCAGCAGUCGGGAACCUUGCACAACGGGGGGAAGCCUGAUGUAGAAACGUCGCGUGCGGGAUGCCGGCUUACGGGUUGUAAACAGAUGUCGACUUAGCCGAAGCGUGAGUGACGGUAACGGGUAAAGAAGCAACGGCUAACUACGUG
rnacentral:rRNA from 1 species